GAAAAAGGGGGGGCUGUGGUGGUGAACCCUGAAAUCAACAAAAAUUCAUCCAGAACGUGGAUGACUGAUGGACACCUGAAUAUAUCUAGGAGCGGCCAGCAGAGGGUUUCUGCAGAGGGCGGUAAAAAGAGGUCUAUGAUCAAACGCAUUUGGGUACUUUUAAUGGCUACCCUGUAACAAAGAGGACAGUUUAACCAGCAUAUGAAAAGUGUGGAUUAAUAUUCAGUUCGGGACAUUACAAGCAUUCCCCAUAUGAAUGCUUGCUACUAAAUAACAGGCCACCC